rnacentral:rRNA from 1 species
UUUUUAUGGAGAGUUUGAUCCUGGCUCAGGAUGAACGCUGGCGGCGUGCCUAAUACAUGCAAGUCGAGCGAACAGACGAGGAGCUUGCUCCUUUGAUGUUAGCGGCGGACGGGUGAGUAACACGUAGGUAACCUACCUAUAAGACUGGGAUAACUUCGGGAAACCGGAGCUAAUACCGGAUAAUAUUUCGAACCGCAUGGUUCGAUAG